rnacentral:lncRNA from 1 species
CCGCUGUCUCAGGCAAUGGACUAAUUCAUGGAGUGUACUGUAGUCUGAGCUCCCUGAUCAGCCGCGGGGAGGAACUCCUGAGAACUGAGAAAUGACUGUUUAAUGAACAAAGAGAGAAGUGACAAUGAGACUGCCCUGUCCAGAGACUCCCAAAUAAAGAAGGAGUCUCUGUAAUGACAUCUCCUGUGACAUUCCUGAUACACCACCUGGAAGGAGAGAAGAUGGUAGUCUGAAAGGGACAGAAUGAGAGAGGGAGCUGGAGAAAGAAAUGAAUAAACACGAAUGCAUCUGGAGAAUGAGGCAUCUUGGAAUCUGGAAAGUGAGGCAUCCUGGAAGAGAGAUGAAGGUUCAAGCUCCAAGAUGUCCAGAACCAAACGCGAAGAAGAAUUAAUGAAAUGGAUAUAUGCAAAACUCGUCAAGAUUCUCAUUUGGCUACAGCAAAUUAUUUGGCGAGUUGAAAGUUUAGUUGUGUUAAUGAUAUGCUACACCUUCUAUACCUGUAAUGUGCCAAAAAUAACUGAACACUUUAGAUUUCUCUUUAAAUCCAGUAAUAAUCCAUUAAAGAGAUAAAGGUGCCAAUGUGCAGGCAAGUAAACCACAUUGCCAAGUAUACAAGCUAAUACAUUUCCCAGGAUGGAUUUAGAGUUUCCUAUUUCAAGCAAAAUUUACAGAAAGUUAAAUGCACAAAUCUUCAGUGCACAAUUACACGAGUUUAGCAACUAUAUACAUCCAUGUAAACAACACUAUCAUGAUGCAGAACAUUUUUAUCACCCAGGAAAUUACUUCAUGUCCCCUUCCAGUCAAUCCACUCUCCACAGGAAACAACUAGAGUUCUGAUUUUUAUCAUUAUGUACUAGAACUUCACAUCUUAGGAAAUCAUAUAGUGCUGUCUCAUUUGUUUCUUGCUAGUUUAGGCAGUAUCAUUUUUUUGAAAUCCAUUCAUAUUGUUCCAUGUUAUCAGUAAUUUGUUACCUUGAUGUAGCUGAGGAGUAUUCCAUUAUAUGAAUAUACCACAACUUAUGUACCCAUUGUACUCUUGACAUUGGCUAUUGUUAGUAAAGCUUUUGGCUAUUUACUAGUAAAGCUGCUAUAAACAUGCUCAAGUCUUGUUGUAGAAACAUUUUCAUUUCUCAUAGGUAAAUAGUCAGGGAUGGAAUUUCUGAGUCACAACAGAGGUAUAUGCUUAACUUUAUGAAAAUCAUCAAGCUGUUUUCCAAACUGGAUGCUCCAUUACCUACUUCUCUGAGUAAGAUCUGGGAGUUCCACUUACUCCACAUCCUCACCAACAUUUGUUGUUGCCACAACGAAGUGGUGCAAUAGUUUAUUUUUAUUUUCGUUUACAUUUCUCUGAUGAUUAAUGAUAUCAAGCACAUUUUCAUGUGCAAUUCACCAUUUUUUUUAAAUGUCCAAAACUUUCAUUCAGUUGUAAAAAAAAACAACAGUAUCUUUUUAUUAAUGGUUUGCUCUUGUUCUGGGUGAAGUUCAUCAUCGAAUAUAUAUUGCUAAUAUUUUUUCCCACAUUACAGCUAAACUUUUAAUUUUCUUUUGAUGGGCAGAGAAUUUUUGUUGUUUUAUUUUUGUGAAAUCCGAUUUAUUGCUUUUUUGCAGCUAGUGUUUUUUCUUUCAUCUCUAUAAAAUCUUGCCUAGCCUAAGAUUGUAAUAUAGUCUUCUGUGUUUUUUUUCUUCAUAAAACCUUUACAGCUUUAGCUUUUAUAAUUGAAUCUAUAAUUUAUCUACAUUAAUUUUGUGAAUAUUGUGAAUUGUGGCUAAGAAGAUUCAUUAUUUCCAUGGUUAUCUAGUUAUUCCAGCACUGUUUGUUCAAAAAGACUUUCCAUUGAAGUGUCUUUGAGCUUUUAUUGAAAUUAACUGACUAUGUGUGUAUUGAUUUCUUUCUGAGCUUUACUUUGUCCCAGGGAUCAGCUUGUAUAACCUUAUGCUAAUGCAAUACUAUCUUGAUUAUUGUGGCUUGCUGCAGGUCUUGAUAUAAAGUAAUAAUAUAAUUUAUCUGAAUUUGUUCUUUUUCAAGAUAGCUUUGGAAGUUCUUUAUUUCUUGUAUUUUCAUAUAAAUUUUAGAAUAAACUUGUGUAUUUCCACCAAAAAAAUGCAAAUUUCAUUUAGUUUGUAAUUAGGUCUAAUCAAACCAUAUUAAAUCUUCCAGUUCAUUAACAUGUUCUCUAUCUUCAUAAACUUGGGUCUUCUUUAAAUCUCUGAGGAAUAUGUUAGAAUGUUUAGUAGAGUUUCUGUAUCUUUUUGGGUAGUGCAGAGGGGGGCAUAAAGAAAGAAUGGUUAAUGGGUACAAAAAUACAGUUAAAAAGAAUAAGAUCUAGCAUUCAGUAGUACAAUAGCACAACUACAGUUAAUAAUUUAUGGUAUAUUUCAAAAUAACUAAAAGGGUGGAAUUGAAAUGUUCCUAACACAAAGAAAUGAUAAAUAUUUGAGGUGAUAGCUACCCUAAUUUGAUCAUUACAUGUUGUAUGCUUGUAUCAAAAUAUCACAUAUGCCCAUAAAUGUGUAUAACUCUUACGUAUCCAUAAUUAAAAUUUGUUAAAUAUAUAUGGUCUGUUUAUGCUAUUAUAAAUGGUAUAUUUACAUUUUCCAAAUGUUUGC